CUGAGGGCAAAGCUGUUAUUGUUUAUUUAUUUAUUUUUUUUAUUAUACUUUAAGUUUUAGGGCACAUGUACACAACGUGCAGGUUUGAUACGUAUGUAUACAUGUGCGAUGUUGGUGUGCUGCACCCAUUAACUCAUCAUUUAACAUUAGGUAUAUCUCCUAAUGCUAUCCCUUCCCCCUCCCCCCACCCCACAACAGGCCCCGGUGUGUGAUGUUCCCCUUCCUGUGUCCAUGUGUUCUCAUUGUUCAAUUCCCACCUAUGAGUGAGAACAUGCGGUGUUUGGUUUUUUGUCCUUGCGAUAGUUUGCUGAGAAUGAUGGUUUCCAGCUCCAUCCAUGUCCUACAAAGGACAUGAACUCAUCAUUUUUUACGGCUGCAUAGUUUUCCAUGGUGUGUAUGUGCCACGUUUUCUUAAUCCAUCUAUCAUUGUUGGACAUUUAGGUUGGUUCCAAGUCUUUGCUAUUGUGAAUAGUGCCACAAUAAACAUACGUGUGCAUGUGUCUUUAUAGCAGCAUGAUUUAUAAUCCUUUGGGUAUACACCCAGUAAUGGGAUGGCUGGGUCAAAUGGUAUUUCUAGUUCUAGAUCCCUGAGGAAUCGCCACACUGACUUCCACAAUGGUUGAACUAGUUUACAGUCCCACCAACAGUGUAAAAGUGUUCCUAUUUCUCCACAUCCUCUCCAGCACUUGUUGUUUCCUGACUUUUUAAAGAUCACCAUUCUAACUGGUGUGAGAUGGUAUCUCAUUGUGGUUUUGAUUUGCAUUUCUUGAUGGCCAGUGAUGAUGAGCAUUUUUUCAUGUGUCUUUUGGCUGCAUAAAUGUCUUCUUUUGAGAAGUGUCUGUUCAUAUCCUUCG
rnacentral:lncRNA from 1 species